GACAGAGGUUGCAAACGUUGUUCGGAAUUACUGGGCGUAAAGCGCACGUAGGCGGCUUGGUAUGUCGGGUGUGAAAUCCCCGGGCUCAACCUGGGAACUGCAUCCGAAACUGCCUUGCUAGAGUAUGGGAGAGGGAAGUGGAAUUUCCGGUGUAGCGGUGAAAUGCGUAGAUAAUCGGAAGGAACAUCAGUGGCGAAGGCGACUCUUGGCCUGUAACUGACACUGAGGCGCGGAAAGCGUGGGGAGCAAACAGG
rnacentral:rRNA from 1 species